rnacentral:lncRNA from 1 species
UAACAUUCCACUGCUCUUGUGAUCUAUAUUCCUGGUUUCCACUACCCAAGUAGGCAAGACAGAUUUUUAUUUGCAUUCAUCGAGACAAUGCGUGUGCUUUAAAAUUUCCAUACCUCUACCACUGCUUGUGAACUGUGAAGUGUCUGGAAGCUCAAGCGGUACCUGAAUCUAUACAAGAGCCGUGCUUUUAGUUGGAAAUGAAGAAAAACUUCCAACAAGAUCAGAGGGCAGAUUGGGUGAUUUUGAAACUUAACAGAUCUUCUUAUUACAAACUACUGGAGAAAGAGAAGGGCCUAGGAAAGUGGAGAAAUGGGGGCAGGGCGGAAAUUAGGCAAGGAGGAGGAGGUGGAAAUCAAAUCCAUUUAAAUUUCACGAGAUCAGAAUAUAUAAAGUGAACCUAGUCACCACUGGCGUUGCUCAAAUUCCAUUCUGAGACUUAGUCAUUAAUAUUUAGCAUUUUUUGUGAUUAUUUUAUAGACAUGAUGUCAUUGUUUCACUGUGUUUUACUAAUCACCAAUGACACACUUGCCAGGGAGCAAAGUUAUAAUGUAGUGAUGUUAUGAGUGGAAUAUGUUGCAAUUGUGCUGUGGGGCGGGAGGGAAGUUCAGAUUAAGUUCAAGGCGUUUGGCUUGGAUAUUUUGGGUGAACCAAAUCUAGACUUCUCAGGGGGUUCUAUGUCUUAGAACCACAUUUAAAAACUCACCAUUUUAUUGUUUAAAAAGUACCCAUAAAAUUUAAAGCUUCUGAAAUGGGAAUCUUGGGGAAAGUGAAUAAAAUCCCAGACCUUCCAACAAAAACAACCUUCUUCUUUUUGACAACUCCAGGUUUAGACAUUCCUUAGGUUUAUUACCACAAAGCAGACCAAGCUGGCAAGAGAACCAGCAGGCCCCUUGUCCCUCUGUGCAGUGUCCUAGCCACAGCUGCUCCAACAGACACACCUCCCCGGUGAUGGAUGUGCUCUCUGCCAGGGAAGACCCAGGUGGAUGCACAUGUUUCUCCAUGAGGAGUUCUGCUUUCAACUUAUCAUCUACUCACCCUAUUUCAUCUUCGGCCUUGGCUGAUCUAAUGAUGAGCUUGAUCAAAGACAGAUGUUUACUCCUUUCUGGUAGGAAGGCAAUUCAAACUUGGUCCUCUGCAAAUUUCCAAGGAGACUUCUUUAAGUUAAAUGUGAAACAGUGGGGAAACUAACAGAAGAUUAUAGACCCUGAAGAAAAAUAGACCCCUUGAAUUGUUACACGGAGAGAACCACAAGCUCAACUAGCAGCUCUGUCUGCUUCUUCCGAUUUCCCUCAGUAGUGACAAAGGGAUGGUGAGAGUAUUCACUUACACUGGAAGUUUUGGGAAUUCUCCUGCAGAAGAGGGCAGAACAACCAUAGAGUGUUACUGGGUGAUGGGGUAAGGGACUGAGAAAUAGGUUGCUCCGAUUAGGUGAAUACUAGUAAUUGCUACACACUUGAGUAGUAAUUAUUCACAGAAAUUCU